GACGAACGCUGGCGGCGUGCCUAAUACAUGUAAGUCGAGCGAAGUUUUUCUGGUGCUUGCACUAGAAAAACUUAGCGGCGAACGGGUGAGUAACACGUAAAGAACCCGCCUCAUAGACUGGGACAACUAUUGGAAACGAUAGCUAAUACCGGAUAACAGUAUUUCUCGCAUGAGAGAUAUUUAAAAGUUGGUUAUGCUAACACUAUGAGAUGGCUUUGCGGUGCAUUAGCUAGUUGGUGGGGUAAAGGCCCACCAAGGCGACGAUGCAUAGCCGACCUGAGAGGGUGAUCGGCCACACUGGGACUGAGACACGGCCCAGACUCCUACGGGAGGCAGCAGUAGGGAAUCUUCCGCAAUGGGCGAAAGCCUGACGGAGCAACGCCGCGUGAGUGAAGAAGGAUUUCGGUUCGUAAAGCUCUGUUGUUAGGGAAGAAUGGAUAUGUAGUAACUAUACAUGUAAGAGACGGUACCUAACCAGAAAGCCACGGCUAACUACGUG
rnacentral:rRNA from 1 species